GUCUGUUCCAUUAUUCAUCUUUCAGGACAAAAUUAAAGAGUUCGGUGACAAACAUCCAACACAAAACUCAGCAGAGGCCGAUGUUGAACUUCCUCCACCAAGCAUGCAGAAGCUCUCCUCUGACCUUCGACCUCUCAUGUUCUGGAUGUCCAAUGCCACGGAGCUCCUCAACUUUUUUCAGGUCAAAGUUGAAGCCAUGGAAAAAGAAUGGGAAUUUGAAGCCCCAGGUGACCCAGUGCUCUCAGCUGAUAUGGACAUCUGUUCUGAGGCGCUGGCACAGCUGGAUGAUGUCAUUAUGCACACCUUUCAGCAGUGUG